rnacentral:rRNA from 1 species
UCAUUACUUAUCCCAAUAAGCCGUGUUAGUUCUGGAUGCCCUAUCCAAGAGAUGUGCAUGAGAUUGGAAUUCAUAGUAAUCAUGGUUCAGCAUGCCGCGGUGAAUACGUUCCCGGGCCUUGUACACACCGCCCGUCACACCAUGGGAGUUGGUUUUACCCGAAGGCGCUGUGCUAACCGCAAGGAGGCAGGCGACCCCGGUAGGGUCAGCGCACUGGGGUGUACAGCUGC